rnacentral:SRP_RNA from 1 species
GCCGAGCCCGGUAGCGUGGGCUUGUAACCCGAGCGGGAGCCUUGAGGCGGUGGGAUGGUGUGUUUAACUCGACUGGGUUGGGUGCGACCGUACUAUACUCGGCUUGUCCGUUCCAAGUCAGGCAGCUGAGCCGUGCGGCCCGGGCGAAGGCUCGAGCUUCUUAGGAUCCUAAAGCGGAGGACACCGCGUCAGGCUGGCUUCACAGAGCAGCGACCACCUCCCGCUCUUGACGGUGGAGGGAUAACAGGCCGGUGUACGCCGCACUCACCGUACCCACAGGGUUAACGCCUAUCAAACCACCACCUUU